AAAACAUUCAGAAGUUGCUUGCAGAGGUAGUUUGGUUGGGAUUUUCAUCCAGAGGAAGAAACCACAUGCGGUGAUCUGCUUCCCGAUCAGAUAGAGGCGAAGUAAACCUGAACCCAGGAUUUAUGUCACUGAACACUGACUACGUGUCCGGGGGUCUUUCUGGAUGAUCAAGACUAUCUACGUUCUGAGGAUUUCAUCUCCUAUCUACCGUCUUCAUUUGGAUUUGCAUCUAGCUGGCAGUUUUCCUGCUACCUUCACCUCCUGGACCAAGCCGUAAGCGUACCCUGUCCACCCUCCAACGUAACCAUCUGCACACCGAACUCAUUCCUGUUUGCUCCAAGCUCACACAGAACGGCACUUAAGAACCUUCUACAAACCUGGAUCCUGAAUGCCUUUUCCCCUGAUGACCUGACCACACCUAUUUAGUAAGCUGUUCUCUUGAUUGCAUUAAUUCAUUGUUCUUAGUUUGUCAUUAUUCAGUUCCCUAUUCUCACCAAUUCUCUUCCCUUCUUCCCAUACAGUAGGAAAAUCAUCCGUUCCGGAUUAUCUUUGUCAAAAUAAACAUCCUUUACAUAU